GAUGAACGCUGGCGGCGUGCUUAACACAUGCAAGUCGAACGGAAAGGCUCCUGCUUGCAGGGGUACUCGAGUGGCGAACGGGUGAGUAACACGUGGGUGAUCUGCCCUGCACUUCGGGAUAAGCCUGGGAAACUGGGUCUAAUACCGGAUAGGACGAUGGUUUGGAUGCCAUUGUGGAAAGUUUUUCGGUGUGGGAUGAGCUCGCGGCCUAUCAGCUUGUUGGUGGGGUAAUGGCCUACCAAGGCGUCGACGGGUAGCCGGCCUGAGAGGGUGUACGGCCACAUUGGGACUGAGAGACGGCCCAGACUCCGACGGGAGGCAGCAGUGGGGAAUAUUGCACAAUGGGCGCAAGCCUGAUGCAGCGACGCCGCGUGGGGGAUGACGGCCUUCGGGUUGUAAACUCCUUUCGCUAGGGACGAAGCGCAAGUGACGGUACCGGGAGAAGAAGCACCGGCUAACUACGU
rnacentral:rRNA from 1 species